AGUUCGAUCAUGGCUCAGAUUGAACGCUGGCGGUCUUUACAUGCAAGUCGAACGGCAGCACGGACUUCGGUCUGGUGGCGAGUGGCGAACAGGUGGCAGGUAAUGUAUCGGAACGUGCCUAGUAGCCAGGGAUAACUACGCAGCGUAGCUAAUGCCACGCUACGCCCUUCCAGGAAAGCCGCCAGGGGACCUUCGGGCCUCACUAUUAGAGCGGCCGAUAUCGGAUUAGCUAGUUGGUGGGGUAACGGCUCACCAAGGCGACGAUCCGUAGCUGGUUUGAGGACGACCAGCCACACUGCAGGACGAGACACGGCUGACUCCUACGGGAGGCAGCAGUGAAAUUUUGGACAAUGGAAACCUGAUCCGGCCAUCCCCGCGUGUGCGAUGAAGGCCUUCCGGGUUGUAAAACACUUUUGGCAGGAAAGAAACGGCACGGGAUAAUGCCCGUGCAACUGACGGCUGCCGGGAAUAAGCACCGGCUAACUACGUACCAGCAGCCGCGGUAAUACGUAGGGUGCAAGCGUUAAUCGAUUACUGGGCGUAAAGCGUGCGCAGGCGGUUCGGAAAAGAAAGAUGUGAAAUCCCAGAGCUUAACUUUGGAACUGCAUUUUUAACUAUGACUAGAGUGUGUCAGAGGAGGUGGAAUUCCGCGAUAAUAGCAGUGAAAUGCGUAGAUAUGCGGAGGAACACACCAGUGGCGAAGGCAGCCUCCUGGGAUAACACUGACGCUCAUGCACGAAAGCGUGGGAGCAAGCGGGAUUAGAUACCCUGGUAGUCCACACCUAAGCGUCUCAACUAACAUUUCCCAGGGGCCUUCGGGCCUUGGUAGCGCAGCUAACGCGUGAAGUUGACCGCCUGGGGAGAGUACAGUCGCAAGAUUAAAACUCAAAGGAAUUGACGGGGACCCGCACAAGCAGUGGAUGUGGAUUAAUUCGAUGCAACGCGAAAACCUUACCUACCCUUGACAACUCUGGAAUCCCGAAGAGAUUUGGGAGUGCUCGCAAGAAGGGAACCGGAACACAGGGUGCUGCAUGGCUGUCGUCAGCUCGUGUCGUGAGAUGUUGGGUUAAGUCCGCAACGAGCGCAGCCUUGUCGUUGGUUGCUGCACGAAAGGGCGCUCUAAUGAGGCUGCCGGUGACAAACCGGAGGAAGGUGGGGAUGACGUCAAAGUCCUCAUGGCCCUUAUGGGUAGAACUUCACACGUCGCCACAAUGGUCGGGACAGAGGGUCGCCAACCCGCGAGGAGCCAAUCCCGAAACCCGAUCGUAGUCCGGAUCGCAGUCUGCAACUCGACUGCGUCCCAGAAGUCAGAUAUUCAAAGCCAAUGUGAGGAUCAGCAUGUCGCGGUGAAUACGUUCCAGGUCUUGUACACACCGCCCGUCACACCAUGGGAGUGGGUUUUACCAGAAGUGAUUAGCCUAACCGUAAGGAGGGCGAUUACCACGGUAGGAUUCAUGACCAAGCUGAGUGCAAGUCGUAACAAAGGUAG
rnacentral:rRNA from 1 species